rnacentral:rRNA from 1 species
UACGUAGGGUGCAAGCGUUGUCCGGAAUUAUUGGGCGUAAAGAGCUCGUAGGCGGUUCGUCGCGUCGGCUGUGAAAUCCCGAGGCUCAACCUCGGGUCUGCAGUCGAUACGGGCGGACUGGAGUUCGGCAGGGGAGACUGGAAUUCCUGGUGUAGCGGUGAAAUGCGCAGAUAUCAGGAGGAACACCGGUGGCGAAGGCGGGUCUCUGGGCCGAUGACUGACGCUGAGGAGCGAAAGCGUGGGGAGCGAACAGGA